AUAUUAUAAUUUUAUUUUCUACGUACGUGACUUUACCGAAUGAACCAAGAUUAUAGUUAUUAUUUGACAUUGUACAGGGUAGUCCAGAUGUCUUGCGACCCCCAUUUAAUUAUCUAAAACGUAAUAUAAGUGUUUGUAUACCAAUGGGUGUGAAAACAGAAAUGAAUAAGUAAAGAAAUGUUACGGGUCAAAUAAUUGGGGGAGGGGGUCAUUAGACAUCUGGAGCAACCCUCUAAUAACAUCACCAACAUUCUCAUUCGCUCCGUGCAUAGCUGCUCAUCCGUGGAUGUCCAAUGUAGAGCCUGAAGUCCCAGCGUAGCCAUGAUAGAUGCGGCUGAUGAACAUUCUCGAGUCACAAACGCUGCAAGUGGUGUCAAAUCUCACCGUUCAAUUUGUGAUUAUUUUUACUUGCCGACAGAUUUUGCUUCAUAAUGGAAAAAAAACAUCACAUGCAACACCAUAAUGUGUUUGUGUUAUUUAAUAGCGUUAUAGUUUGUUGGUGUCACUGAAUUAUUUUUUUUUGAUCAUGGAUAAAAGUUAGACAGUAUGUAUCUAUGUUGAACCUCUUUUGCACUGUACUUCGCCAACCGUGCUAAUCAGAGGUGCAAUGAUACACCGCUUGAUAAAGAUACACCUUGAUGAUACACCUCUUGAUGAUGACGGGAAUGAUGAUUAUUAUAGCCACAUGGUGGUGGUGGCGGCGACGGUGAUGCUGUUGAUUUUGGAUGAUAAUGGUGACGAUGACGGUGUUUUUUGAAGAAUGGAAUCUCUGGCAGGAGUGGACCAAGUGGAUAACCAAGUUCGCUGUGAGCUGGAUCCUCGGAAAAUGGAGUCUGUUCUGAAACGUGUGGACAAGCGACUGGCCACGUUUGAAUCCAACUGGUCUUACUUGUCGUAUGGAAAAACACCCACCCUGAACCCAAACUCGGCACAUCCAAAAUUGAAGUUGUCCAUGGAUUUGCAUACAGUCACGUGGUGCAGCCAGGACCAAGGAUAUCCGAACCACCCAGACCGGUUCGACUCAACGCUGCAGGUCAUUUGCUCCGAGAGCUUUGCCGCAGGUUGUCAUUACUGGGAAGUGGAUGUCCGAGACGGCUGCAAUUGGGCCGUGGGAGCGACCUACAGCGCCAUCAAACGCAAGGGAACCGACACCGCCUGUGUGCUCGGGCGCAACAGAAUCUCCUGGGGAUUGUGGUGCUGGUCUGCACAGUAUUUAGUGUACCAUGACGACGUCAAAACACCGCUGGCGUUUCCCGAGCCCUUGCACGCGGUCGGGGUGUACGUAAACUUUGAGGCGGGUGUGCUGGCCUUCUACAACGCCGACACGAUGGCCCUGCUGUACACGUUCGAAGAGCCGUUCAGGAAGCCGCUGCAUCCCGCGCUUUACCUGGCAGGAAAGUCUCUGCGCAUUGUGCAGCUGUAGUCGCCAUGUUUUUGUGCUCCCAAUUAUUUACAUGAGAGCGGCUUGGAAAGGUCUUUUUAAUAAAUCACUUUUCAGAUCAAAUUAUAAUUUAUGGGGGGGGGGGGGGGUUGUUAUUGGCAUUUGCCUUAAUAACUUAUUAAUCAUGUUUUCUAAAAUGAAUAAAAAUGUACCUACAAUUAAUUUUAAGUCAUCAAUGUGCAAGCUAAAAUCAUGGAUUGUACUGGGACAGUUGGGAAUGAGAACAAUAACCAAUGCAUUGCAGCUGAUGGAAUGUAUUAACACUGCAUCAGUGAGGGUUAAAGCCAUAGGUGCAAGAUUUAUCUGUGCACAAUCUUUUGGGUGACAGGACUUCAAGUUAUUAAGUACUGUAUUCGUUUGCAGCUUGAGAGACACUCAGCAGUGGCCUUGAUAAGUGGUCAUCAGUGAGCCACAUCACAUUCAGGAAUGCCAAGGGCUCAGUGGGGGCAGGAGUGAGGAAGCUGUAUAUAUUGUGGUUCCCAUGAAAAUUGCAGCAAUGUACAGAUUGGAAAACAGAAAACAAUUACAUCAGUACUGCAUUAGUGAGAGUUAAAAGUGGGAAGUUUACAAGGUGUAAUGCAAAUUCAACCAAAAUACAGUACUUUCAGAAUGGUUUAUCACCACGGUACAUACAGUGAGGGAAAAAAGUAUUUGAUCCCCUGCUGAUUUUGUAUGUUUGCCCACUGACAAAGAAAUGAUCAGUCUAUAUUUUUAAUGGUAGGUUUAUUUGAACAGUGAGAGACAGAAUAACAACAACAACAAAUCCAGAAAAAACGCAUGUCAAAAAUGUUAUAAAUUGAUUUGCAUUUUAAUGAGGGAAAUAAAUAUUUGACCCCCUCUCAAUCAGAAAGAUUUCUGGCUCCCAGGUGUCUUUAAUACAGGUAACGAGCUGAGAUUAGGAGCACACUCUUAAAGGGAGUGCUCCUAAUCUCAGCUUGUUACUGUAUAAAAGACACCUGUUCACAUAAGCAAUCAAUCAAUCAGAUUCCAAACUCUCCACCAUGGCCAAGACCAAAGAGCUCUCCAAAUAUGUCAGGGACAAGAUUGUAGACCUACACAAGGCUGGAAUGGGCUACAAGACCAUCGCCAAGCAGCUUGGUGAGAAGGUGACAACAGUUGGUGCGAUUAUUCGCAAAUGCAAGAUACACAAAAUAACUGUCAAUCUCCCUCAGCCUGGGGCUCCAUGCAAGAUCUCACCUCGUGGAGUUGCAAUGAUCAUGAGAACGGUGAGGAAUCAGCCCAGAACUACACGGGAGGAUAUUGUCAAUGAUCUCAAGGCAGCUGGGACCAUAGUCACCAAGAAAACAGUUGGUAACAACUGUUUUCUUGGUGAAGGAAUGCUGCCUAUGACCCCAAGAACACCAUCCCCACCGCCAAACAUAGAGGUGGAAACAUUAUACUUUGGGGGUGUUUUUCUGAUAAGGGGACAGGACAACUUCACCGCAUCAAAGGGACGAUGGACGGAGCCAUGUACCGUCAAAUCUUGGGUGAGAACCUCCUUCCCUCAGCCAGGGCAUUGAAAAUGGGUCGUGGAUGGGUAUUCCAGCAUGACAAUGACCCAAAACACACGGCCAAGGCAACAAAGGAGUGGCUCAAGAAGAAGCACAUUAAGGUCCUGGAGUGGCCUAGCCAGUCUCCAGACCUUAAUCCCAUAGAACAUCUGUGGAGGGAGCUGAAGAUUCGAGUUGCCAAACGUCAGCCUCAAUACCUUAAUGACUUGGAGAAGUUUUACAAAGAGGAGUGGGACAAAAUCCCUCCUGAGAUGUGUGCUAACCUGGUGGCCAACUACAAGAAACGUCUGACCUCUGUGAUUGCAAGUACUAAGUCAUGUUUUGCAGAGGGGUCAAAUACUUAUUUCUCAUUAAAAUGCAAAUCAAUUUAUAACAUUUUUGACAUGCGUUUUUCUGGAUUUUGUUGUUAUUCUGUCUCUCACUGUUCAAAUAAACCUACCAUUAAAAUUAUCGACUGAUAAUUUCUUUGUCAGUGGGCAAACGUACAAAAUCAGCAGGGGAUCAAAUACUUUUUUCCUUCACUGUAAUAUAAGGUUUUGAACUUGGAUAAUUUAGUCAGUUCGUUUUGUUGGGCUAUUCAAUGACUGUCGUCUAAUGAGCCGGGCAGUGGCCGUGCAUUCCUGUAAUCCAGCACGGCAAGGGUUAGUGGCUCACACAAAUGUUGUGAAACUCCCUUCCCAGGAAGUGUAGAAUAAUCUCCAUCUGUCACAUCUGUAUGGGAUUUUGUGGGUUUUCUCCGGGUGCUCUGGUUUCCUCCGGCAUGAAGAAAUACUCAUCGUCAAUUGGCUACGAACACAUUUAUAUAUACGCACCUCGGUGUUUGCGGAUUGCACAGCGUUGUGUGAUGCAAUUGCAUAAAUAUAAAUUUUUAAAAAACUACAUUUUAUUUUUGCCAUUUAACUUUUAACAAAUGCAAUGCUUGAAAAAGCUGUAAGGCUUUACAUGAGUUGAAUAGGCCAACAUUUGCUGCAACAUAAAGUGGGCUAAACUUAAUUUAACAAGUAAUAAGUUUGUUCUGGGAUUCUGAUAAAUGAGUGAAAAUUCAGGAGGCAUUAAUCGUCCAUUAAAAGAGAGAAUGCGUUCCUGUAAAUGAUUGACCUUGCCCUUGAAUUGUAUGUGGAGUGUACAUAAAUCUACUAAGGUAUAUUUUUACGACAGGGUUUUGAACGCAUUUUUUAAGGUAAAUUGAAUGCUUUCCAACAGAGAUUUACAUUGAGAUUGCAAUCAUUAUUUGUACUCGGAAUAUUACCUUUUGAACUCAAAGCAUGUGUCAGGAAGUGAUGAGGCUCCUUAAGAUCGCUAAUUGGCUGUUGUUCGACGGGGCAGUUUUGAAGAGUAUUGAGUCACGUGGCAAUCAUGAACAUCUCCCGAGGGCAGCGGUUCUCAACCUGUGGCCCGCAGACCUCUGGUGCCCCGCGAGGCUACCUACUACAUGGGGUCAGCGGAGAAGAAAAAUAAUCGGAAUCUUACAUUUACACUGGAGGAGGAAUCCGAUGAGAUAUGAAGCUCUUUUUCACAGAUGUCCACCAGUGUGGGGCGGGUCAUAAUAAAAAUGACAUCCUUGCCAAGGAAAUGAACAAUUUCAAAUGAAUUGUGGGUAUGGUGGUCAGCGAAAUGUUCGGAGGUUGAAAAGGGGCGCGCAGACUCGGAAAGGUUGGGAACCACUGCCCAAGGGUGCGUCGUGGUGUCUUCAAUAAACCCUGUUCAAAACUCUGCCCGUGUGCACUAUGCUUCUCUUUAUUGAAGACAAGCAUAGUUGUACACCCCUAGCUGCCACUGCAAUUUAGUGGCCUAAAAUACCUAAUAAAUGAACUUGAACUUCUCUAAACAUGCACAGUGGUCCAGCUGUCUUGUUACCCACAUUACAUUCUCUAAAACUUAAUGUGUUUUUAAGUAAGGUGUAUUUAAACCAGAAAUUUAUUUGCAAAGGAAAACAAAUGUCAGGGUUCAAUAAAUUGGGGCGGGGGGUGGUCACAAGACAUCUGAACCACCGUGAACUCUACGGUACACACUGGAAUUGCUAACACUCGGCUGUGGAGUGAUGAGGCACGCGCACAUCGAUCCUUGAGGUGGUCCUUGCGAAAUAAUAAUAAUGAUAGCUCAUCGAAGUCAUCUAUCGUGAGCCAUGUCCUUCCGGAAAGACGUCGAUAUAUAACCAUGGCCUUCAAUCCAUUUCGCUCUGUCCAUAAUAUUAUAUUAUUAUGGGACUUUGCAUUAUAUACUCGCAGUUGCAUAACAUUUAGCAAAUUGCUCAUGUAAAUGAAUUUGCUGUCUUCCCCGACCUCUUGUAGUGCCUCUAAUUUCCCCAGUUAAAACCACAUAUAUAUUCAGCCACUUGUAUUCUCAUUACAUGUCCAAGAUGUGUACAUUUGCCUUCCUCUAAUAAUAGUCUAAUUACUGUAUUCUCAUUAAUUGCAUUGUUGUGUACUCGACUGCUAUCCGUAAUACGAGUUACUCAUCUCGUUUGUCAGUGGCAUGUUUAACAUCCUUCUUAAAAACAUAUUUCUGUUGCAAAAAUUCUGCUUUGUAGUUAUCUUUUUUCUCCUGAUGAUCAAAACGUCGUAGUUUUUUGUUAUUUUUUUGAACCUAUCUACGUGACUUUACUAAAAG